CUGACCAAUGUAGCCUAUUAACUGAAUUGCUUAUUUUAUAUAUUUCUGCUGUCAUCAAAAAGUGCUAAUUAAUUCUGGACAUAUUUUGCAGCUAAUUGAGAUGGCUGCCAAUGAUGGCCUCAGUGAUUUGUUAUGGAUGCCUUAUAGUCAACAUAAAGCCGGGCUGGGUUUUCACCUGCCAUCCACUGCUUGCCUAUCCACCGUUGAUGCACCAAUGCUCCACCGCCAUCUAAACGUCCGCCGGCGCGUGGGCAACACUGCACUGGCACCCCCUAACGGCCAAUCUCCGCAUGCCACUACCGGCCGCGCCAUUUCGCCUCUCGCUGCGCCUGCCACUGCCUCUACCGACCGCACCACAACGACACUCCCGCGGCACCACCAUUGCUGCCACCGGCCAAGCCUCCUCGCGCCGCGGCCAACCCCGCCGCCGCUGUCCGAGCCUCGCCGGCCUACGCAGCCACCGCCCGUGUCGCGCCUCCUUGCACCGCAGUCACCACGCCGGUCGCCGCCGCUGUUGGCCGCACCUCCAGCUGUUGCCGUCAGACAACCAGCGAGCUGCAGCCUCCAGCCACCCGCUGUCGCCGUCGGCCACCCCUUGUCGCUGCCGUUGCCACGAACUCCGCGCCACCUUUUCACUGAUACACCUGGAGAUGGACUGCCAGCAAUGUACCUCCAAUUUAUGGUAGAUUUAACUGCACCAACAGAGUACAACUGGGGGAGCAGCUGCACUUUCCACGUUGUACAGGCAAAUAGAGUAUUGGUUCUGAGAAGGAGAGAUCUGAAACAUGUGGGCCUUACUACAGUUGUGGUGUUGGUCGCGUUUGUCACUCGGGCGUCCUGUAAAUGUAAUGCAAAAUACACAAGAAACCGAGGGAGUGCAAGAGACUCGCAGAUGGACUGUUGCCCUGUAUUUGGAGCUAAGUGGGGUGCUGCACAUGAAUUUCGUACCCCACGUAAUGCUGGUAUUGUUAUAUACUCCCUCCGUCUCAUAAUAUAAGUGAUUUUGA
rnacentral:lncRNA from 1 species